rnacentral:rRNA from 1 species
AAUUUACAUGCGAGUUUGCGAGUGAAAAACUCAUAAGCGAAAUGAAAGUGAGUACAAGAUGCCAACCGCAAGGGGCAGCAUCGGCCUUCCUUGAUAUUCUUUGAAGGGUAUGAGCAAGAGCAUGUAUGUUAAGACCCGAAAGAUGACGAUCUAUGCUUGAAUAGGGUGAAGCCAGGAGAAAUUCUGGUGGAGGCUCGAACAGAUACUGACGUGCAAAUCGUUCUGCGAAUUUGAGUAUAGGGGCGAAAAACCAAUCGAGUCUUCUAGUAGCUGGUUCCUUCUGAAGUUUCUCUCAGGAUAGCAAGGACAACAACGCAGUUUUAUUAGGUAAAGCUAAUGAUUAGAGGACUCAGGUGCUCAAUGUACCUGACCUAUUCUCAAACUUUAAAUUGGUAAGCCUUACGUUUACUUCAUUGAACGUGGGGACGAAAUGCGUGUUCUUAGUGGGCCAUUUUUGGUAAGCAGAACUGGCGAUGAGGGAUGCUCCUAAAGUUGAGUUAAGGCGCCUAAAUUGCAAUCAUCAGACACCAUGAAAGGCGUUGAUUCGUUGAGACAAUCGGAACGUGACCCUAACAGUAGGCACCGUUUAAAGACCGUUUUACCACCCACCGAUCUAACGAAUCAGCCCUAAAAAUGGAUGGCGCUAUAGUGCAAUGCCGAUACUCGACCUUCACAGCAAAAAGAAGUUGUGAAGAGUAAGAAGGCGUGGAAGUAGUGCAGAAGCCGAGACGAGAGUCUAGGUGGAACUGCUUCUAGUGCAGAUCUUGGUGGUAGUAGUAAUUAUUCAAAUGAGAACUUUGAAGACCGAAGUAGAGACGGGUUCCGUGAGAACAGCAAUUGGUCACGGGUUACUCGAUCCUAAGGCAAGGCGGAAACGUCGCGAAGCAGUGAUCCACUGUGGUGCCGAAAGGGAAUGAGGUUAAUAUUCCUCAAGUUUGCAAUGGAUGUUGUAUGGCAACAUAAACAAGCUCGGAGACAUCGGCGCGUACCCCUGGAAGAGUUUUCUUUUCUUCUUAACUCCUCAAAGCCAUGGAAUUGGAUUAUCCAGAGAUAUGGCCUUAAGGGAGGAAGAGCAGUCCAUUUUUCGGACUGGUGGUGCGUUCGUGACGAUCAAUGAAAAUCCGAGGGCGAUACUUAAUUCAUUCAAAAUCGUACCAUAACCGCAUCAGGUCUCUAAGGUUAGCAGCCUCUGGUCAACUAGAAGAAAGUCAUUUAGGGAAUUCGGCAAAAUAGAUUCGUAACUUCGGGAAAAGGAUUGGCUCUGAGGACUGGAUAUGAGACUACUUGUCGACUACGAUUGGAAGUUAGCUGAAAGCUUCGGUUUAAAGCCUACUGCUGAGACUAGGAGGCUUGGAGUUCUUGUAUAAACAUCAGUCAACUCAGAACUGAAGCGAACAAGGAGAAUCUAACUGUUUAAUAAAAACAAAGCUUUGUGAUGUCCAGAAAUGGUUUUGACACAAUGUGAUUUCUGCCCAGUGCUUUGAACGUUAACGUGAAGAAAUUUAACUAAGCGCAGGUAAACGGCAGGUGUAACUAUAACACUUUUAAGGUAGCCAAAUGCCUAGUCAAAGAAGUUUUGACGUGCAUGAAUGGAUUAAUGAGAUUCUCACUGUCCCAAAUGACCAUCUAACGAACCCACAGCCUAGGGAACGGGCUAGGCAAAAUCAGCGGGGAAAGAAGACCCUGUUG